rnacentral:rRNA from 1 species
UACGAAGGGGGCUAGCGUUGUUCGGAAUGACUGGGCGUAAAGGGCGCGUAGGCGGUUUUCCAAGUCAGGCUGUGAAAGCCCCGGGCUCAACCCGGGAAUUGCGCUUGAGACUGGGAAGCUUGAGUGCGGGAGAGGAUGGUGGAAUUCCCAGUGUAGAGGUGAAAUUCGUAGAUAUUGGGAAGAACACCGGUGGCGAAGGCGACCAUCUGGACCGCAACUGACGCUGAGGCGCGAAAGCGUGGGGAGCAAACAGGAUUAGAAACCCUCGUAGUCC